rnacentral:piRNA from 1 species
UAGGUGACCUGAUGAGCAGAAAUACGAU